UACGGAGUACAGAGCAAGUGGUUUGACUGGAUGACUGGCUUAUUUCAUCGUCAGCUGUUAUUUCGAUCGCAUAUACGUUUCAUUUUUACGUGUUCUGUUCGAUUGCGUCUUACUCGGUGUGCCGGUUUGUGUCUGCCCAGCCUUAAAUUGUGGAUCCGUUUCUUUUCGGUACAGGACAGGAACUACUACAUCUAAGAAUAAUCUCAGAUAAAAGCAGUAACUAAGGAAUGUCCAACAAUAAACGAAACAAUAUUUGGUAGAAAAGCAGGAGCAUGACUGGCUCAAGCUAUCUUUUGUAUAAGAAAACACAGCAAUAUCAACGACGAAGCUUGUCCAGACGACAACGAUUGUAGCUCAUCUGAGAGCCUCAUCCGCGAGAAUAAUGAUGAGGACAGUGGAGAUGAGGAGAAGCAAAAGAAAGACGAAGAAAAAAAUCUUCCAUAAAGAUAAUCUCACCUCAAUUAAAGAAAACUAGUCCAAGCUGCAAUCGGAUGCUUUUAGUUAUAGAAGAAAAAGAAGACCGAAUUGCGAACCGUACCUUUGUAUAUAUACAUUUACUUUGAGUUAUUCAUAGUUUUAAAAUAGUUUAUGUGUUAAGGAUUUAUAUAAUCUAAGUUUUUUCGUUUUGAAUAGUUUUAUAUAUCUCGAGUUAUAAUUAUAGUUAUUUU